rnacentral:rRNA from 1 species
CCAUGAAGCUGGAUUCGCUAGUAAUCGCGCAUCAGCCACGGCGCGGUGAAUACAUUCCCGGGCCUUGUACACACCGCCCGUCAAGCCAUGGAAGCCGGGGGUGCCUGAAGUGCGCUGCCGCAAGGAGCGCCCUAGGGUAAAACCGGUGACUGGGGCUAAGUCGUAACAAGGUAAC